UCAGUUACGUUUCACUCUUGUUCCCAGCCAUUAGCACCGAGUCACUUUUCUAUAGCUAUAAAAUCAACUUAUCUGAUGGAUUUCAGAACCUAGACUUCUCUUAAUUCAUCUACCAAGAAUUUCAUCUAAGAAGCUGAAUCAUGGGAGCUGACUUGAAAAGCGACUUCCAUUGAAUGUGUAGACGAUGCCGUUGGGGUUCCUGGUGUUAUUGUUUACGAGAACGAAAUGUAUCCACUUCCUUCUCAACAAGCUGGAGCUGGACAAGGCCUUCACAGUUCUGUGAGACCUUUCCAGUUCCCCCGUUAUGAAAAUGAAGACACUGCCGUGGAUGAAGGUUCUCUGGAGACUGACGGUGACUCACAGACCAGUCACAAAGAAGUCUGAAAGCAAGAGCGGGAGAGUGAGGCGGGACCCUAGACGCAGUGGGCAGUCACUCAGUGGCCGAGAUGUUAGGCAGCCCACUGUAGGACCAACACCAGAUACAAGCCAAUAACCUGAUCAAGGGCACCAGAACAAUAAACUGCAUUAUAGAAACAGGAAGGCCCUGCUCCGACCAGGAGUCAAACACAGAAUCAGUUUCUUAGCUUUGAAUAAUUCUGUUUAGCUUUCAUUAAUUGGUUAAGUUAAUCAUGAUGUUAACACUAAAAAUGUAUUGCACUGUAAUACUAUACUACAGUUUUUCUCAACUGCUAAAACACAUUUCACAAAAUUUUCCUCCAUUUUUCCAAAACUCUAAACACAGCACACUUUUCUAAAGCUACCUAAACAAAACUACACCUUCUCUCUUCAAAAUUCAAACUUU